rnacentral:lncRNA from 1 species
UUUUUUUUCUAACAGAUGAAGCAGUGCAUAAGCAUUUAUGAUGGGUGAAGCUGAUGUGUUGCAACGAAUAUCUCAUGCAGGCACUUUGGAUCCAACUCAACUCAUCACACAUUUAUGGUGCCAGAUGCCAAUUUGGAGAAGAAAGGGUCUUGUUCUCAUGAAGCUCACAGAGAAACAGACUCGCCCCAUGGAGGGGACAAAUUGGAUUCAUGACCAGACCUCUGAGGGGCUGCGUCUCCAGGCAGCUGGUGGGAAGCUGUCUGGAAACAAAUACAUUUUCCAGCUCGCUCGACCCUCACAUUUCCACAGCAGAAGAAUACCCUGAAAGUGUUUUUCACGUACGAUUUCAGAAUCCUCACGAAAAGUCUCAAGCGUUUCUCCAGUUAUAGGGAGAUUCUAAAAACGUGUGGAUCAAGGGGUACCGCUUCUACUUAUUAACUUACUUGUGGUAGGUGAUAUAUUCAUCACAUUCGCUUGUAUGUAGACAUUACACUCUUCUAAAGGCAUCCAGCCAUUCAUCCAAGUUCAUAGAGUAAUUAUUCAAGGCUCUCUGCCUCUAGUUACAAGAAGUGAGUUAAUAUGCUCCUGAGUCUGUCUGUAUUUUUAAUGAUCAUUUCAUUUCCCUCAUUAAGCAUUUAGGUUGCUCAUUUGAAACGUCCAAAUUGAUAAUGUUCUCAUCUUUCUGUGGUUUUCAUGGAAGCAUGAGAACUCCUCAAAGUCAGAGCAAUGGCUCUAAAAUGGAUCUGCUCCUGUCAACAGAGCUCCUGCACAGCCAGGACCAACGCCUGAGUAUCCAGGACCAUAUCUCCUAGCCCAGAAACAAUUCCUGCACACCUAAAGAUACCCAGUCAGCCCUCACCUUGCCUGUAAGCCCCCUUCCCAGGAAAUAAGAGCAGAAGAACAAAGAAGCCACAAAGUUUCAUCUCGAGGAUAUGGAAAUGAAAUACACUGUGUAACUGUUAAGGACUGAAUUAUGUCCUCCUGAAAUUCAUAUAUGGAGCCCUCAUGCCUAAUGUGACUGUAUUUGGAGACAGGGGCUUUAAAUAAGUCAUUAAGUGUAUUAGUCCAUUCUCACCCUGCUAAUAAAGACAUGCCUGAGACUAGGUAGUUUAUAAAGGAAAGAGGUUUGAUUGACUCACAGUUCCACGUGGCUGGGGAGGCCUCACUAACGUGGUGGAAGAUGAAGGAAAAGCAAAAAAUUGUCUUACAUGGCAGCCAACAAAGAGAACUUGUGCAGGGGAGCUCCCAUUUAUAAAACCAUCAGAUCUCAUGAGACUUAUUCACUCAGGCAAGAACAGUAUGGGGGCAACUGCCCCCAGGAUUCAAUGAUCUCCC